AUCACAACGCACAGUUUGAGAGGCUGCUGUCACGCUCCAUGCGCACAGACGCGACCAGCCGUGCGCCUUCCUAAUGCGCCCGUACAGCGGCCACGGGUUCAGCAUAACACUGAGCUGGACAUGAUGCUGACGGACAGAUGGAAACAGACACAGUCUCUGCCGUAGAGACAGAGUGUCCAUCCGUAUUACGAGUCCGUGAGGAGGUGAAGUAUUUGCCGGGUCUCUAGGGCUGCAUCCCUGUCUUCAAAGUGGACAGCAUGGGCAGAACAGCUAUCGUUAAAAUGAUAGUAUCAAAAAUUCGAUCCUAACGAGAAGGAAUUUGCAGAAAAGGUGCCAACGGCGGAUUUAAUCGGCUUGUCGGUGAUUUAUUUCAUAGCCUAGCAGUUCAAGAAGUUGGAAGGGAGGAUGGAGAAGCCUAGUCAGCCUCAGCCGCAUUCUGGUGGAUCCAAAAGCACAGAAGGUCCCUCUGAGGACCUUUCCAAACUUACGGACGAGGAGCUUCUGAAAUGGAGCAAGGAGGAGCUGGUUCGCCGGUUGCGCAGAGCCGAAGCCGAGAAGAUGAGCGUAAUAGUGGACCACAGCAAUCUCAUCCGAGAGGUAAAUCGCAGGCUUCAGCAGCACCUCAACGAGAUACGAGGACUUAAGGAGGUGAAUCAGAAGCUGCAAGAGGACAACCAGGAGCUGCGGGACCUCUGCUGCUUUCUAGAUGAUGACCGGCAAAAAGGGAAGAAAGUGUCAAGGGAGUGGCAGCGCCUGGGCCGCUACAGCGCAGGGAUUAUGCGUAAGGAGGUGACACUAUACCUGCAGAAACUGAAAGAGCUGGAGCAGAGGCAGGAGGAAGUAGUGAGGGAGAACCUAGAACUGAGAGAGCUGUGCCUAAUGCUGGAUGAGGAGAAGGGAUCUGGAGGUACCAGCGGGUCAGUAGGCACCGGUGGACCGGCAGGCUGCAGGAAUUCAAUCGAUAGUCAGAGCAGCUUGUCUCAUGCCAGCGGUCCUGGGCCUGGUUUACUAAGGGAUGUAGGUGAUGGGAGCAGUACCUCCAGCGCGGGCAGCACUGACAGCCCUGACCAUCUCACACAUAAGCAGCAGCUGUUGGGUGGCCCGGUUGGAGGCAGUCCUGACCACCUACAUAAGCCAGGCUCAGGGGAGGAGGCACCGGGUCCAGAGAAUCCUAGCCGCAGGCAUAGCACCAGCCAGGAGUAUGCAGCACAUACCUUUCCCCAAGUGUGCCGGUCCCGCUGUGGAUCCUUCUCCAGUCCAGAUCACAAGGGACUACGAGGUCUUAGUCCAGAGAAACUUGCCAAAAGGGGCAGUCCAGAGCAAUUCUCUAAACACCUGUUGGUUUCUUCUCAACCGCCCGGCAGCCCGGACCUUUUUCAGAAGCACAGGGGUAGCAUGGGGAGUGUGUGUGGGAGUCCAGAGCCCAAACAGAUAUUAUCAGGGACACCGGAGCACCUACAGAAGGGCCGUGUCAUAUCUGGGAGCCCUGAGUUGUUGAGGCAUCAACACGUCAAGUUUGGCAGUCCCGGCCGAGAGGUGGUACAGAAGCGGCCGGGCGUAGAGGAGAUGUCCCCUCAUCACCGGAGCAUCUAUAGCGGUAUGAACGGUGGGUCCGACUGGAGCCUGCUGUAGCACCCACAGUGACAUACAUGGAGUCCCAUUUGAGCACACCACAUACAGAGGGCAUAGUCAUCCUGGAGACAGCAAAGCCCUAAUUUCCGGCCAGGCACUAAACCAUCUCAUUCAGCCAGCCAUGUUCUGCAUUUAGUUUAGUUUUGCUUUGCUCAGUUCAGGAGAUGCAAUGGCCAGAUAGUGAAGGAGCUUUAGUGCCUGGCUAGAGCAGAACAUUUCAUCUCUGGUAAAUGUUAGUGGUGUCCAGUCUUGGUCCUCUCAGGCCAUGCUUUUAGCAGGCUUUAACUGCCUCCUAUCAAUCAGCCUCAGUACCUGUGCCUCCGAAGCCAUUUUUAUGCACUGGAACCCAUCUGAGGGAACACUUUAAUCAAUCAAUCAAUCAAAGACCAAAAAGCUCAGAGGCCCAACAAAAAGCCAGAAGACAGUGCUGCCCGGCAGGACCAGGAGUGGACACCAUUGUAUUUGCUUUAUGCAUGCAGCUCUGAUAUCUGCUGGCUGUUGCACCAGCGCCUGUAGAAGUGUCAAGCUUUGGGACAGUUUUGAUACCUCCUGACCAAUGCCUUGACCGGAUCCAGCGGUGGGACUGUGGCCCUGAAAGAGGAUCCCUGUUGCUUUAAUAUGACUUGCACUGACAGAAAUGAAGGGCGAAGAUGGAAAAGUGUGAUUGAAAGACAAGAACUUCUAGCAGCAGCCAGUGUCUCUCGUCGCCCUCCAUCAACAUGCUGGUUCCUGCUGGUCUCCUAAAACAACUUACAGCCCUGCACAAACCCAGGCCUGGGGGAGGAAUUCCUUCUGAUUUCAAAAGCUGGAACAUGAUUGCCAAAAGGAUUUCUCACAUGGGAGAUUAAAACAUCUCUCUUUUGCCAACAAAAUAGACCUACCUCCUUUGAAUGAAAGCAGACG